rnacentral:rRNA from 1 species
AAUAGAUACCCCGGUAGUCCACGCCGUAAACGAUGAGUGCUAAGUGUUGGGGGGUUUCCGCCCCUCAGUGCUGCAGCUAACGCAUUAAGCACUCCGCCUGGGGAGUACGGUCGCAAGACUGAAACUCAAAGGAAUUGACGGGGGCCCGCACAAGCGGUGGAGCAUGUGGUUUAAUUCGAAGCAACGCGAAGAACCUUACCAGGUCUUGACAUCCCGGUGACCACUAUGGAGACAUAGUUUCCCCUUCGGGGGCAACGGUGACAGGUGGUGCAUGGUUGUCGUCAGCUCGUGUCGUGAGAUGUUGGGUUAAGUCCCGCAACGAGCGCAACCCUUAUUCUUAGUUGCCAUCAUUCAGUUGGGCACUCUAAGGAGACUGCCGGUGAUAAACCGGAGGAAGGUGGGGAUGACGUCAAAUCAUCAUGCCCCUUAUGACCUGGGCUACACACGUGCUACAAUGGACGGUACAAACGGUUGCCAACCCGCGAGGGGAGCUAAUCCGAUAAAACCGUUCUCAGUUCGGAUUGUAGGCUGCAACUCGCCUACAUGAAC